rnacentral:ncRNA from 1 species
CGACCCGGCCGUGCGCGACGUCCUGUAAGUACCGGGAGAAAGUACCAACCCCACCCCACCUGCUCUGAGGGAUCACACCUGGGGGGCGCCGAGCGGCGCGUCACCCGUACGAGCUAACUUGCCCAACUUCGUUGCAUAACGGGGAGGUUGUCUGGCAUAUGCUCGCGGCUACCGAACUGAAAAUAGGUCGGCCCCCACCGGGAGCUCUCACCCUCCCUGCAGGGGCCUGGCCAUGAGGAAGCCUUAGAGAGAGUCCCUUCCCC